GAUGAACGCUGGCGGCGUGCCUAACACAUGCAAGUCGAGCGAACAGACGAGGAGCUUGCUCCUCUGACGUUAGCGGCGGACGGGCGAGUAACACGUGGAUAACCUACCUAUAAGACUGGGAUAACUUCGGGAAACCGGAGCUAAUACUGGAGAAUACAUUGAACCGCAUGGUUCAAUAGUUAAAGAGGCUUUUGCCGAUACUUUUAGAUGGUUCCGCGCCGCAUUAGCUAGUUGGUAAGGUAACGGCUUACCAAGGCAACGAUGCGUAGCCGACCUGAGAGGAUGAUCGGCCACACUGGAACUGAGACACGGUCCAGACUCCUACGGGAGGCAGCAGUGGGGAAUCUUGCACAAUGGGCGAAAGCCUGACGGAGCAACGCCGCGUGAGUGAUGAAGGUCUUCGGAUCGUAAAGCUCUGUUAUUAGGGAAGAACAAAUGUAUGAGUAACUAUGGACGUCUUGACGGUACCCAAUCAGAAAGCAACGGCUAACUACGUG
rnacentral:rRNA from 1 species